rnacentral:rRNA from 1 species
UGCUUAACACAUGCAAGUCGAACGGCAGCACGGUCUAGCUUGCUAGAUGGGUGGCGAGUGGCGAACGGGUGAGUAACGCGUAGGAAUAUGCCUUAAAGAUUGGGAUAACAUGGGGAAACACAUGCUAAUACCGAAUGAGCUCUUAGGAGGAAAGCUGGGGACCGCAAGGCCUGGCGCUUUAAGAUUAGCCUGCGUCCGAUUAGCUAGUUGGUAGGGUAAAGGCCUACCAAGGCGACGAUCGGUAGCUGGUCUGAGAGGAUGGCCAGCCACACUGGGACUGAGACACGGCCCAGACUCCUACGGGAGGCAGCAGUGGGGAAUAUUGGACAAUGGGGGCAACCCUGAUCCAGCAAUGCCGCGUGUGUGAAGAAGGCCUGAGGGUUGUAAAGCACUUUCAGUGGGGAGGAGGAUUGAUUGGUUAAGAGCUGAUUGAUUGGACGUUACCUACAGAAGAAGCACCGGCUAACUCCGUGCCAGCAGCCGCGGUAAUACGGAGGGUGCGAGCGUUAAUCGGAAUUACUGGG